AUAAAUUAAUGUGGUCGAUCUUUUUCAAGUAAAAAUACUACGAAAAUUGAGUUUACAAAAUCAUGAGAUACAAAGAAAAGUGGAAAAUCUCGGAUCAUUGAAGUAUAUAUACAUCUUUUGAGCAUAACAUAACAAAUUCAAAACCUAACACAUAGGAAACUCUCGGUUUAUAUAUUUGAUUCAUCUAUCGAAGUAUCAAAACCUAACCUAACACAACAAAUUCAAAACCCUAGAUCAUGAUGCUUAGCUUGCAGAAGAAGAAUGUGGAAACUCUCGGAUCACCGUGAUAUUAUCGCAUCAAUGGCUUCAGUAAUAAGUAACCUAUUAUAGUAAGGCCAUAGAGAAAGCAUCAGAGAAUCACUAUCAUCACUUUCAAUCUCAUCAAGUGUGAAAAGAGGGUUGCUUAUAGAAGAAGGAGCAUAUUCAUUGAUGAAGAGCAAGAUGAUCAAGCUGAUUUUACAAGUGUUCACCAUUGUUGAAGAGAAGCUUAGGCUUUUAGGGUUUUACUUUUUUUUUAAGAAAGCUU
rnacentral:lncRNA from 1 species